GAAACGUCAAAACAAUCGAACUGAAAAGUUUACAAAUAUAAUUUUUUGCAAAUAGUCUUUUGGUUUCGAUUUCGUUUGACUGAUAAAAAGUGAAUUUUUUAAAUAUAAAUUGUACGGUCUACAAUGAGCGAUACCGACUUCAUAGAUAUAAGCAAAUUAGAAGGUUUUUUAUCGUUUUUAGGCACUAUUGACUGGAGGGACCCAUGGCUCAUCGGUCUCUUUGCAUUUCAUCUCUCCGUCUUCAUGAUGGCAAUUUUAACUAGAAAUUAUGGAAAUUUCCAGGCUGUACUGUUUUUUAUCCUUCUGCUCUUAGUGUACUUUUCCGAAAACAUUAACACCUUAGCAUCAACGAACUGGCACAUAUUUUCUAGACAACAAUACUUUGAUAGCAAUGGUCUGUUCAUAUCAGUGGUGUUUUCUAUGCCUAUUUUAAUUAAUUGCAUGUUGAUGGUGGGCAACUGGCUGUAUCAGUCCACACAACUGAUGGCAACCUUGAAACAGGCGCAGCUUAAAGAGAGACUGAAGAAGGAAAAAAUCAACAGGGAAAAAUCUAAAAACGACUAGCAAUAGCUAAUACGAUUCUGCUUUGAGACUUGACUUGUUACCAUAUUAAUUUUAAGUUUAUAAUAUUGUUGGUUACCAGCUUUAAAUUAGUGCCAACAAGGAUAUGCCUUCUAUACAUCACAUGCCUCUAUUUGUAUAUACUGUUUGCUGAUUUAGUAAGUUAAAGGGUAAAGAUAGAUUUUAUUGUGAUAUUUGUACUUUUUCUUAUUGCUUAAUGCUAAUACUAGUUUGUUUUAUGUAUAUUAAUAUAGGACUGGUGUUUAAAUAUAAACAAGUGAUGAUUA
rnacentral:misc_RNA from 1 species